UACAGAGGUCUCGAGCGUUGUUCGGAAUCACUGGGCGUAAAGGGCGCGUAGGCUGCAUGGUAAGUCAGAGGUGAAAUCCCGGAGCUCAACUUCGGAAUUGCCUCCGAUACUGCCGUGCUUGAGGACUGGAGAGGAGUCUGGAAUUCACAGUGGAGCAGUGAAAUGCGUAGAUAUUGUGAGGAACACUAGUUGCGAAGGCGAGACUCUGGACAGUUCCUGACGCUGAGGCACGAAGGCCAGGGGAGCAAACGGG
rnacentral:rRNA from 1 species